rfam:Rattus norvegicus chromosome 10, whole genome shotgun sequence.
GGGGAAUGGAAGAGGGGGCCAGCCCCAGGCCCUGAAACAGUGUUUUGGGGCA